CAGCCUGCAAAUCCUAGCAGGCAGCUCGUGUGAGAGAAGCAGGAAAGGAAUGAACAGAGAGAGAAAAUCAGACCAAAGAGUGCGGUGUGAUUGACGUGGCCCUGAUACGCUCCAUCUGUUUGCAGCUGAUAAUGGAAUCCUGGAGGCUUCUGGGCAUUGGGCUCGGCUCCUUGAGGAACCAGAGACCAUGAAAUGGAUGGGAUGACAGCCACACCUUCAUCCCCGACACCAGGCUAGAUUGAAAGCUUCCACUAGAUGGCUGUCGGGAAACACAAAGACCACCCCGAAUGACCUUGGCAGUUGACUUCUGACAGGGUACCCAGCUCUUGGAGCUGGAGCGACACCUUGUGGAACUCCCUGACUUCCUCUGGCAAGGCUUGAAAGACAGAAAGAAAGCCGUGUUCUCCAUCGGAUGGGGCGAUUUCACAUUUUGUUUCCCUGAAGAAGGAGAUGGGGAAGCAAAAUGGAAAUACAUGAAACCCAGAACUCAGAGAAGAGGAAAAAGAUAGGAAUGUCUCCAGGAUAUCUAAACCUGAUGUCUGCCCCCCGCCCCCCUUGGACACAAGUGUGCAUACAUACACACACACACAUACACACACGCACACACACAUACAAGAAAAGACUCGCUUCUCAUCGGAAACACAUUCUAGUUUUUGGAGGAGAUUUGGAGAAAUUUCCUGUGGAAAAAUAUCUCUAGUUUGAUUUCAAUCAUUUAUAUAUUUCUCAUUCCAUUACCAGCCUCUGGGCUCAUGCAGAGCAGCCUUUAGGCAUAACUGGGGUUCAGUGAAUAGGAAACACAGAUCGAUAUUAGCCAGCAUCAGUCGUCAUCACCGGCAGGCAAUGGCCUUCAGCACUCUUACGGGAGAAGCCCGCUGUCUUCUACAGCAUCUGUGUUCUGGCCAGGCAGUUAGACACAUCCAAGCUAGGUCAACUGCUGUUCCCUCCGAUUUCAGGUUGUCAGUCGGACAUUCGCUUUCUCCGUCUGGUCAGUCAGGGCUGCUGGAGGGAGCCGGGGGUGUCACCAUAGCAACUGCCAAGGCGGAGUGAGGAUGCAGGCAGGGAGGUGAAAUUAGCCAUCUCUCAAGCGGGAGGCGGAGAGGGGAGGCCUAAGCUCAGGCAGGGAGAAUCAGCCUGCAACGCCAGCUUGCAGAACGGAGGCCAGGAUGGCAAGAAGAAGCUUCAGAGAAAGGGAUUUCUAGCAGGGCCAUGCUGAGAGCCCCAGCUUGGUUAAAGACAAGGAAGGACCGGGGCUGCCUCUGGCCUCCAUUGAAUGGGAAAGUCAGGUGACCAUCUGGGUGGUCCUACUCCCCAAUCCAGCCCUGCUCGUUUCCAAACAACUAUGAGGUGCAGGGUGGCCCACUGAAAAGAACACAGGCCUUGGAAUCAAGGGGCCUCCAUUCUAAUCCCACCUCCACCACUAUCCUGCUGCAUGACCUUGGGCAAGUCACUCAAUUUCCCUGUGCUUUGGUCUUCCCAUCUGGAAACAGAUGAAAUACCUGUUCUCCCUCCCGCUUAGACUUUGAGCCCCAGGUGGGAAAGAGA